rnacentral:rRNA from 1 species
AGAAUCAACGCUGGCGGCGUGCCUAACACAUGCAAGUCGCACGAGAAAGGGGGGCAAUCCCUGAGUACAGUGGCGCACGGGUGAGUAACACGUGAAUAAUCUACCUCCGAGUGGGGAAUAACUGAGAGAAAUCUUAGCUAAUACCGCAUAACACUUACGAGUCAAAGCAGCAAUGCGCUUGGAGAGGAGUUCGCGGCCGAUUAGUUAGUUGGCGGGGUAAUGGCCCACCAAGACGAUGAUCGGUA